UACGGGAGGCAGCAGUGGGGAAUAUUGCACAAUGGGCGCAAGCCUGAUGCAGCCAUGCCGCGUGUAUGAAGAAGGCCUUCGGGUUGUAAAGUACUUUCAGUCGUGAGGAAGGUGUUAAGGUUAAUAACCUUAGCAAUUGACGUUAGCGACAGAAGAAGCACCGGCUAACUCCGUGCCAGCAGCCGCGGUAAUACGGAGGGUGCGAGCGUUAAUCGGAAUUACUGGGCGUAAAGGGCACGCAGGCGGUUAAUUAAGUUGGAUGUGAAAUCCCCGGGCUUAACCUGGGAAUGGCAUUCAAGACUGGUUAGCUAGAGUCUUGUAGAGGGGGUUAGAAUUCCAUGUGUAGCGGUGAAACUGCGUAGAGAUGUGGAGGAAUACCGGUGGCGAAGGCGGCCCCUGGACAAAGCUGACGCUCA
rnacentral:rRNA from 1 species